rnacentral:rRNA from 1 species
GACGAACGCUGGCGGCGUGCUUAACACAUGCAAGUCGAACGAAGUGGCGAUCGGGUGAGUAAUACGUGGGUAACCUGCCCUCCUUUUUGGGAUAAGCCUUGGAAACGGGGUCUAAUACCGAAUAAAGGGGGAUGGGCUCGCGGCCUAUCAACUUGUUGGUGGGGUGAAGGCCUACCAAGGCGGUGACGGGUAGCCGGCCUGAGAGGGUGACCGGGAACAUAGGGACUGGGAUAAGGCCCAGACUACGACGGGAGGGAGCAGUUGGGGAUAUGGCAGAAUGGGCGAAAGCGUGAUGCAGCGACGCCGCGUGGGGGAUGAAGGCGUUCGGGUUGUAAACCUCUUUCGCUAUAGAUCGGGUAGGUGGAGAAGAAGCGCCGGCUAACUACGUGCCAGCAGCCGCGGUAAUUC